rnacentral:lncRNA from 1 species
AAGAUGGCACCGAAAGUGAAGAAGGAAGCUCCUGGCCCGCCUAAAGCUGAAGCCAAAGCAAAGGCUUUAAAGGCCAAGAAGGUAGUGUUGAAAGGUGUCCACGGCCACAAAAAAAAGAAGAUCCGCAUGUCACCCACCUUCCAGCGGCCCAAGACACUGAGACUCUGGAGGCCGCCCAGAUAUCCUCGGAAGACCACCCCCAGGAGAAACAAGCUUGACCACUAUGCUAUCAUCAAGUUUCCUCUGACCACUGAGUUUGCCAUGAAGAAGAUAAAAGACAACAACACCCUUGUGUUCACUGUGGAUGUUAAAGCCAACAAGCACCAGAUCAAACAGGCUGUGAAGAAGCUCUGUGACAUUGAUGGGGCCAAGGUCAACACCCUGAUGGAGAGAUGAAGGCAUAUGUUCCACUGGCUCCUGAUUAUGAUGCUUUGGAUGUUGCCAACAAAAUUGGGAUCA